GGAAGUUGGCGCCACUGAAUGCCAAAGCCUUUUUUGUAGGUGCCAAUCAGGACAGAAAUCAGGCGGGGGACAAAUAGAGACCGAGAGUCUCAGAAGUCUUGGCACCAGGGCACAAGGACCUCAACCAAAUUGCCUUCGAGAAUGUAAACAAUUCUUUUUAUCAUUCACUGGGUUUUUUGCCAAAACUUUCAAAUGCUGAGGAGGCAUGAAAAGUAGCAAGAUUGUUUAUGAUCUUUGGUCUUUUUUUUUUUGCUUGUUUUUUUUAACCUUGAAGCUGAGUGAACAAAAACAACGAGGAUCCACCUAGAAGGAUGUUGAAAGUUGUAUCUGGUAGCUUCAGCUAAGUUCAUCAGGCCGUUUAGCAGUGAAAGAGAAAAGAUAUCAUGGAGUGGGAUCAAGUGUGGAUUUACUGAGGGUUGACCAAGUUCAGGGGGUAUCUGAAACACAGGGCUUGCCAUCCUCUUCUCAGGACCAGGAAAAAGUCACUACAAAUACCUCAUCACUUCAUGAAUCCUUGGUCUCCUCAUCUGUAAAAUGGGGUGACAAAGACCUACUUUGCAGUGUUUGAGGAUGAAAGGAGCUGAGACAGGGUCUCUCUCUGCUGUGCAGGCUGAAGUGCAGUGAUGUGGUCACGGCUCACUGCAGCAUCAACCUCUUGGACUCAAGCGAUCCUCUCGUGUUGGCUGCCUGAGUAACUAGGACUACAGAAUGAAGGUUAACUAUGUCACCUCAGAGCUGACCCUCAUCACAAGUGACAAUGUGAGGCAUUAUGGGAGGAAUAGGAAACACGGUGCCAAAGGGUCAUGUGUGGUGUGACCUUGGGUAAGUCACUUCCCCUCUCAUGGCCUCAGUGUCCUUAUAUGUAAUUGUGGGGUUGUUAGAGUAGGUAGUUAGGCAGACAUGAGCAGGGCAGGACAGGCCCCCCCUCCACCCCCAGGAAUGUCAGGUGACUAUCAGGUGACGAUGAGGUGGUUCUUAAACUCUCAAAAAUAAUAAUUGUCCACAGCCAGCACCAGGGAAAGGCAGUCUCCCAAUAGAUAGAAAAUACCUGAGGCUGAUGAACAGCAGCUUCCGGAUAAGAUCUCCGGAGUUGUGUGAGUGGGCCCUAGCUUGCGCACUAAGAGGCACAAUGGCGGAGUUUAACUGGUAUAUGACCUUCCUCUAGGAACGCUUGACUGGUAAGGGAAAAACACCUUAAGUGAGCACACACACAACUUCAAUAAACCCACUGCACAUGCCACCCCUGCCAAGUGCUGGCAGACACUGUGCAUGUGGACAGCCCACCCCAAGGGAAGAAUCAGGGGAGAAGAGAUGUAGCCCCCAGAACCAUGCCAACGUAUAAAACCCCAAGUCAAGGGCCAAGCACUGUGCUUGGAACUUUCAAGUCACUGACGUGACUCUCUUCCAAGUGUACUCUACUUCCUUUCAUUCCUGCUUUAAAACUUUUUAAUAAAUUUUCACUCCUGGUCUAAAACUUGUCAUGGUCUCUCCCUCUCCCUUGUGCCCCUUAGAUGAAUUCUUUCCUCCGGGGAGGCGAGAAUCAAGUUUGCUGUAAGCCUGUUGGAUUUGCCACUGCUGACAGGGUUGGUACAGUUGUUCAGAAGGGCCCUUUGGCCCUGUUAUGGGCUGGAUGUUUGUGCCCCUCCCAAAUUUGUAUGUUGACACUUAAUUGCCACUGUGAUAUGAUGGCAUUAGGAGGUGGGGUCUUUGGAAGGGAUUUGUGCUGUUAUAAAAGGCUGAAGAGAUCAGAGUUCUCUUUUUCCACUAUUUCUUGGGAAUUUUUCUGAUGGACGGGGCAGACACAGUGAGAAGGUACCAUCUAUGAACUAGAAAGCAGGCC
rnacentral:lncRNA from 1 species